rnacentral:rRNA from 1 species
AGGAAGGCUUACGGUGGAGACCUAGGCACUCAGAGACGACGAAGGGCGCAGAUACCGGCGAUACGCUUCGGGGAGCUGGUAACAAGCAUAGAUCCGAAGAUUCCCGAAUAGGGCAACCUCUUUUAGAACUCCUUUUUGAAUUCAUAGAAAAGGAAGAGGCAACCCGGUGAACUGAAACAUCUCAGUAGCCGGAGGAAAAGAAAGCAAAAGCGAUUCCCGGAGUAGCGGCGAGCGAAAUGGGAAUAGCCUAAACCACUCCUCUUUGAAAAAAGAGGGUGGGGUAGUGGGAAUCCAAGUCAGUGGCGCGAACAGAAAAACAGAGUUCGCGUAAAAAAUGAGAGACGAAGCAGCUGAAUCCUGCACCAUAGAUGGUGAAAGUCCAGUAGUCAACCAUUUCUAAAUUUGGUAGAAACAGCUCUGCGAAGCUCUGCGAAGCGCUGCGAAGCGAAAUAUGCAGAAAAUAAGCAGCAGCUGAGGAAAAUCCCGAGUAGCAUGGGGCACGUGGAAUCCCGUGUGAAUCUGCGAGGACCACCUCGUAAGGCUAAAUACUCCUGAGUGACCGAUAGUGAAGAAGUACAGCGAUGGAAAGGUGAAAUAGAACCCCCGUAGGGGAGUGAAAAAGAACAUGAAACCGUAAGCUGACAAGCAGUGGGAGGGUAAUCAUAUCUGACCGCGUGCCUGUUGAAGAAUGAGCCGGCGACUUAUAGGAAGUGGCAGGGUUAAGGAAGAAUCUCCGGAGCCCAAGCGAAAGCGAGUCUGAAAAGGGCGAUUUGGUCACUUCUUAUGGACCCGAACCUGGAUGAUCUAAUCAUGGCCAAGUUGAAGCAUGGGUAACACUAUGUCGAGGACUGAACCCACCGAUGUUGAAAAAUCGGGGGAUGAGCUGUGAUUAGCGGUGAAAUUCCAAUCGAAUUCAGAGCUAGCUGGAUCUCCCCGAAAUGCGUUGAGGCGCAGCGGCGACGAUGUCCUGUCUAAGGGUAGAGCGACUGUUUCGGUGCGGGCUGCGAAAGCGGUACCAAGUCGUGGCAAACUCCGAAUAUUAGGCAAAGGAUUCCGUGAGCCAGUGAGACUGUGGGAGAUAAGUUUCAUAGUCAAGAGGGAAACAGCCCAGACCAUCAGCUAAGGCCCCUAAAUGGCUGCUAAGUGGAAAAGGAUGUGAGAAUGCUGAAACAACCAGGAGGUUCGCUUAGAAGCAGCUAUUCCUUGAAAGAGUGCGUAAUAGCUCACUGGUAAAGCGUUCUUGCGCCGACAAUGGCCGGGACUAAGCAGCCUGCCGAAGCUAUGGGAUUUGUUCUUUUUUUCACUGCCUCCUCAAAAGGGCUGCUUCGCUACCUUUUUUUUCAAAAAGGUAGCGAAGCAGCGAAGCAGCGAAGCUCGUGAGAAAAAUUCAAAACAAAUCGGUAGGGGAGCGUUCUGCAGUGGGUGAAGCUAUGACGCGAGUCUAGGUGGACAGUGCAGAAGUGAGAAUGUCGGCUUGAGUAACGAAAACAUUGGUGAGAAUCCAAUGCCCCGAAGACCAAGGGUUCCUGUCCAACGUUAAUCGGGGCAGGGUGAGUCGACCCCUAAGGCGAGGCCGAAAGGCGUAGUCGAUGGGAAACAGGUUAAUAUUCCUGUACUCAUUUUUGUGGGAACCGAGGGACGAAGAAAGCUAAAUCGGGUCUAUUUGUGGAUUGUAGUGGAAACGUUCAAGGCGACGAAAGAUCGAAGAAAAACGAAUCUUGAGCUGAGGCGUGACCCCGCUUUCUAGACUUGUUCUAGAAAGCGCCGAUAAUGUUCUACUUCCAAGAAAAGCUCGUACACCUCUAAAAUUUAGAAAAACACAAAAAUGACCUGUACCAUAAACCGACACAGGUAGGUUGGUAGAGAAUACUGAGGGGCGCGAGAGAACUCUCUCUAAGGAACUCGGCAAACUAGCCCCGUAACUUCGGAAGAAGGGGCGCCCUUUGUAAAAGGAGGGUCGCAGCGAGUCGGUUCUGUCGGACCGAUGUUAAACAUUUCUCUUUCUUUGCAAAGAAAGUUUAACAAUUCCAAAUACCAGGUGAACUGCAAAAAAAAUAUGAGUUUAAAAGUGCUAGCUUCUUUUCAUCUUUUGAAAAGUUUAAGCUUAAACUUUGAAAACACACAUUUAAUUUGCAACAAAGCUUUUAAGAAAUUUCAAAGUUUUCGUCAUUUCUAUGAGAAUGCUCAAAGACUACUUAGUAGAUGAGCACCUGGGUGUCGUUCUUUUUUAGAAAAAAAAGAACAACGACACAUGACAUAGUCUGAUCUUUGGGCAAAACUCAAAGAAACAAAGUUUUCUUUAAACUUUGUUUUCGUAAACACACAAAGUUUAUGGCAAAUGAUAUGUUCAAGAACAUUUGUUCAAAAAAUUGACUGUAUAGACGAUAACAUUAUGCUGGCAACUGUUUAUCAAAAACACAGGUCUCCGCAAAGUCGUAAGACAAUAUAUGGGGGCUGACGCCUGCCCAGUGCCGGAAGGUCAAGGAAGUUGGUUAGAGGUUCUUCGGAAUUUCGAAGCUGACGACCGAAGCCCCGGUGAACGGCGGCUGUAACUAUGACAGUUAAUCUUAGGGCUGUCGUAAAAUAAAACUAUAUGCUGGGACGUCCACUCUGGAAAAAACAAGGAAAAAAACAAGUUCAUUUCCGGAAGUGAUUAUUGGAACCGAGCAGGUGAAAUGCCAAUAUGAAAAGACCAAUCAGCAGGAAACAACAAAAAUUCAAAAAAAUUCGAAAAACAUGUCUAUUUUAUUAAAACCAGGAGAAAGACUUCCCCGUCAUAUCAUCGACGGGUUGAAAGAAGCAAAUGCAAAAAAUCAAAAAAACAGCAAUUUUUCAGAAUAUAAGAGAACUCUUCAAAGACUUUUGCAGUGCGAAAAUUAUGUACCUCUGAACGAAUCACAAAAAUACUAUUUAGGUGGAUUCUUAGAAGGUGAAGGUUCUAU